rnacentral:lncRNA from 1 species
UUUAUUUUGAUAUUAUUUAUUAUAGGAACCACUACUGUUCUUAUGCAAGAGAAAAUAUAAUCUAACCAAAAAUAACCAACAGAAUAAUAAGCAAGUACCUACUCGUAUAACGCAAAAAAAGCAAAAGAAAACAACUUUUAUGCAUACUCCGCAUACUAUAGUUCAAGGAUCAGCAAUGGCAAAAUUUUCCUGAGGAAAGAGAGUAUUUUAAUAUAGUGCAAAGCCAAAGUGGCGUGUGUGUUUUUUCACAUAAAAGAAAAAAGGUUGUUUAACCAGACACACCAGCAUUUGUUUCCCUUAUAAGAAAAGCUACUUAAAAAGAUUCCUUAUCGAAUGGAAAGUCUCCCAUUACUGAGGAAGUGAGCGUCAUGUCAAUUAAAGCGACUGCUACAAUUGCCGAAAUAGGAAAAAGAAUAAUGACUUUAUUCAAAUAUGCACUUGACAGAUCGAAUGGUGGUGGUCGGUACAAAACAACAUUCAU